rnacentral:rRNA from 1 species
AUUGAACGCUGGCGGCAGGCCUAACACAUGCAAGUCGAGCGGAGCGGCGGACGGGUGAGUGAUGCCUAGGAAUCUGCCUGGUAGUGGGGGAUAACGUACGGAAACGGGCGCUAAUACCGCAUACUAUCAGAUGAGCCUAGGUGGGAUUAGCUAGUUGGUGGGGUAAAGGCCUACCAAGGCGACGCUCCGUAACUGGUCUGAGAGGAUGAUCAGUCACACUGGAACUGAGACACGGCCCAGACUCCUACGGGAGGCAGCAGUGGGGAAUAUUGGACAAUGGGCGCAAGCCUGAUGCAGCCAUGCCGCGUGAAUGAAGAAGGUCUUCGGGUUGUAAAGUACUUUAAGUUGGGAGGCGUUACCAACAGAAUAAGCACCGGCUAACUCCGUGCCAGCAGCCGCGGUAAUAC